AGAGUUUGAUCCUGGCUCAGGAUGAACGCUAGCGACAGGCUUAACACAUGCAAGUCGAGGGGCAGCACAGGUAGCAAUACCGGGUGGCGACCGGCGCACGGGUGAGUAACGCGUAUGCAACUUACCUAUCAGAGGGGAAUAACCCGGCGAAAGUCGGACUAAUACCGCAUGAAGCAGGGGCCCCGCAUGGGGAUAUUUGCUAAAGAUUCAUCGCUGAUAGAUAGGCAUGCGUUCCAUUAGGCAGUUGGCGGGGUAACGGCCCACCAAACCGACGAUGGAUAGGGGUUCUGAGAGGAAGGUCCCCCACAUUGGUACUGAGACACGGACCAAACUCCUACGGGAGGCAGCAGUGAGGAAUAUUGGUCAAUGGGCGUAAGCCUGAACCAGCCAAGUCGCGUGAGGGAUGAAGGUUCUAUGGAUCGUAAACCUCUUUUAUAAGGGAAUAAAGUGCGGGACGUGUCCCGUUUUGUAUGUACCUUAUGAAUAAGGAUCGGCUAACUCCGUGCCAGCAGCCGCGGUAAUACGGAGGAUCCGAGCGUUAUCCGGAUUUAUUGGGUUUAAAGGGUGCGUAGGCGGCCUUUUAAGUCAGCGGUGAAAGUCUGUGGCUCAACCAUAGAAUUGCCGUUGAAACUGGGAGGCUUGAGUAUGUUUGAGGCAGGCGGAAUGCGUGGUGUAGCGGUGAAAUGCUUAGAUAUCACGCAGAACCCCGAUUGCGAAGGCAGCCUGCCAAGCCAUGACUGACGCUGAUGCACGAAAGCGUGGGGAUCAAACAGGAUUAGAUACCCUGGUAGUCCACGCAGUAAACGAUGAUCACUAGCUGUUUGCGAUACAGUGUAAGCGGCACAGCGAAAGCGUUAAGUGAUCCACCUGGGGAGUACGCCGGCAACGGUGAAACUCAAAGGAAUUGACGGGGGCCC
rnacentral:rRNA from 1 species